AUACUCGUCUUGUAGUAAUUCUGCAGUUUUAGCACCUACUCCAGAAAAGCCAUCAUGCAGGUCACACAGGAUCUGGAAGCCCUGGAGAUAGAUGAAGGCAAAAAACAAAACAAAACAAAAAACAAAUCAAACCCCGGCUGUAGGCGAGGAGACUCUACCCCAACACCCAUCACCCUUGCCAGCCACUUACCUGCAAGUAAUCACAUUCUUCCACAUAGAAAUGCAGCCUGUCCUCCAGCUCUUCCAAGUACCUGGGUUCCUUCAGGACACUCUCCCCUUGGCCAAAAGCCUCCAGCCGGCCGGUCUCACUGCCAAAAACCACCACGAUAAGAGACACAGUCCUGCACUCAACUCCUCAGUCUGCUGUUUUGGAGGGCAAGUGACAUGGACCCCGGCCUUAUCCAGUGUGUUGGGGGAACCUAAGCUUUGCCUAACAGCCUCUGCAGUCCCCAUACCCGUCAUGGUUGUACUUCUGAAUCACACAGAUGCUCCGUGGAUGGAGAUGGACUCGGAGGAAGUCUGACCAGACUUUGAUGCUGUUCUCUGUGGGGAGAAGUGGUUUCGGGUUUGUAGCAGGAUGACUAGUGGGAAGAAACAGCCGAUGAGUUGUGCCAUC
rnacentral:lncRNA from 1 species